GUUCUUGUUUCAGCGGAACAUAUACUAAAAUUGGAACGACACAGAGAAGAUUAGCAUGGCCCUGCGCGAGGCCGACACGCAAAACAAAAUUAAGCAGCAUUGUUUA